rnacentral:lncRNA from 1 species
GGUAACACCCACAAAGACACUGACCAGUAAUCAGAGGUAAGCACCGUGAGACAGGAUGUUGUGUCCCCAAACUGGCAGCAGGGUUUAAGUCUGGCAAACUGAGGGGGUCUGGAGCAAUGGAAACUCUCACAAGCUGAGCAAGGGAGUGGGAAUUGAGGCUGUCACUGUGGGACAUCUGUGUUCCAAGAUUCCACCAGAGAAAAGUCUGCCAUGUGCUGGAGACACAGACGAGAAUGCUCACGGUGGCCCCAGGUGGGCGGUGGUGGGAAGAGAGGAAGAAAAACUGGAUUGUCCAUUGAAUUGGAUGUUUGAAUGAAUGAAAAUAGAUGAUGCUUGGGAUGCAAGCAGUGCAGCCUGCAGCGGGGCGGACACACGGACCACGCAGCUGCAACGGGGCGGACACACAGACCACACGCCUGCGGCGGGGCGGACACACGGACCACGCAGCUGCAGCGGGGCGGACACACGGACCACGCAGUUGCAACGGGGUGGACACACAGACCACACGCCUGCAGCGGGGUGGACACACAGACCACGCGCCUGCGGCGGGGCGGACGUGCGGACCACAUUGCCACACUGAACCUCUUGGGGCCCGGGAAACAGAAGCCAGUCAGAGAGAACCAGAGCGAGGCUUCGGUUGUUUGCGUAGAAACGAGCCCCGUUGCGUUGCUUCUGUCUACGGCGGCACAUCUUCAGCCUGGAGGUGAGGGUGUAGAGAGACGCGUUCACUGAGGUGCAUGGCUGUCCGGGGGCUCGGGCAUCAGCUCGGGCAUCAGCUCGGGCAUCAGCUCGGGCACGGUGACGCAGACCCCGCCUGGCUGCCUCUCUGCUUUCCUGGAACAGGCGGGUCCCAGCUCCCUUUGCCCAGCGCCCUUGGAGACCAGAGAAGCAGAGAGAGGGCCCAUUUCCAGCCAAGGACUGGGAGCACCCACCCUCUUCUGUUUUCCCUCUUAGAAUUAAGCUUUAAAUGGUUUCUCUGGUCAAAAGUAAUUGUCAGGACAGCAGUUAUGUUCCAGAGUUAUUUUAAUUCUUCCUGACAGUUAGAAAAAUUUAAUAUCCAAAUAUUGUGGCAACCUGUGACUUUCAGAUGACUUGACUUGGAAUGAUUAACAUCAAAACGUUUUCCCGUGUUUCGCGUUAUUAUGGCACAUGACAGAUUCGUGCCCUAACCGCCGGGCCGGUCGCAAGGGCCAAAGCAAGGGUCCCACUGCCCACCAUUGUCCAGGAGUGUUGGCCCCGUUAUGCACUGGUUCGCUUUGGCACAAACGACUAAGUUCCGUGUGGCCGUGAGGAAGAUGGGGGGCUGAUGAUCGCUUAGCGGUACGCGAGAACACGUUUGCUUCUGGACUCGGUCUGCAGCCGGCGCUCAGAGAUCCCUUCAACAGAGAGUUGGGAGAUUCCGGAUCCUCACGUGCCUCUUUGGACUGACGCUUUGGUUCCAAAGCUAGAAUGGCGGGACCGAAAUCGGGCGCUGCCGACAGCGA